GUCACAUCUGCUUUUGCUCAUUAGGGUUCGUGGGUGUGAACGUCGAAGCUUCCCUCAGAGAGAGAAAGGAAUACACCAGCCAUAUGUAAAAGAUGUGAUUGUUUGAAUGGAAAAGAAAGUUGAGUUCCCAUGGCAUUUGAACACCCAGAUGAUGCUUGUUAGGUUUGCAUUCUUAUCUUUGCAACUUGCUCUCUGAUUUGACAAUCAGCAGGUACUUUAUUCUUCUACUUAUUCCUUCAAGCAUCCAUCCAGUUAAAGUUGCAGCAGCCUCUGCAGGGGCGAUAUUUAAUGGCCAUAUCUGUCAACUUUCGAUUGGUUCUCUUUAGUUUUUGUUUAUCUUUAUGAUCCACUGAUAUUAUCAAGUCGUGGUUAGCUAGCUGGAAAUAACUCACGAAUAAAGACAACAAACACCAGUUGCAGAGAAGAUCCAGUGGCGAGUCUUGGUUGAUGACAAAGAGAAAGUAAUAGUAACAACAGUUAGGAUUCCAAGGGUCUCUUCUUCACCAUGCUUUGGAAGUAGAGCUAUAUCUCAGUGGAGACUGAUAGUUAGAAAUGACUGUUUGUGAACAUGAAACAAAUCUAUUCAUACGACCAGUAAGAUGAAGUGGAAAACAUAGAAAGGCAUGUUUGGUAAAAUGGCACAAACAUAUAUCCUUUUAUGACAUGGAAUUUGGCAUGCUGAUCGAAUUAGAAUCCAAAUUUUGUGUAGACUUUUUCGAUGUAAGACACAUUUUGGGCUUAAAUCGCAAAGUAUUUUGCU